GGUUAAGUUAAUAAGGGCGCACGGUGGAUGCCUUGGCACUAGGAGCCGAAGAAGGACGGGACUAACGCCGAUAUGCUUUGGGGAGCUGUAAGUAAGCUUUGAUCCAGAGAUUUCCGAAUGGGGAAACCCGG
rnacentral:rRNA from 1 species